ensembl:lncRNA
GUUAUGACAUUGUCAAGGCCACAGUGCUCGCAGAUGUUGGAAAUGAGACUGAAACCCAGGUCUAUCUGUUUGAUUAAAAACAACCAGGCUGCUCUCCUUCAAUCCUCAGGAUAGAAGGAAGCCCCUCCUCUUUCUUCUCUGGUCAUCACUGCUUAAAAAAACCUUAAUGUUGAGGACAGGGAUGGGGGAGGGUAACGCAGUACCAGUGGGAACACAGCUCACCAUCAAGGCUCUGUGCCCAUCACCGACACUGCCCUUCUGAUCUACCGCUGUCCUGUGGGAGAGGAAGAUAAAUCCCAGGCAUCAUAUAAUUUCAACUCUGCUGCUGCCUGACAGACUCGCAGCCUCACCACCCAGCUCCCCUGUGUGUGUGGGCC